rnacentral:rRNA from 1 species
UGCAAGUCUGGUGCCAGCAGCCGCGGUAAUUCCAGCUCCAAAGGCGUAUAUUAAAGUUGUUGCAGUUAAAAAGCUCGUAGUUGAACUUUGGGUGUGUGCCGCCGGUCCACUUCGGUGCGUACUGACCGGCACGCACCUUUCCUUCUGGUUUUCGGACCAGGACGUUUACUUUGAAAAAAUUAGAGUGUUCAAAGCAGGCAUAUUGCUCGAAUAUAUUAGCAUGGAAUAAGGGAAUAGGACAAUGGUUCUAUUUCGUUGGUUUUCAGUACCAUUGUAAUGAUUAAUAGGGACGGACGGGGGCAUCAGUAUUCCGUAGUCAGAGGUGAAAUUCUUGGAUUUACGGAAGACUAACUACUGCGAAAGCAUUUGCCAAA